GUGAAACUGCGAAUGGCUCAUUAUAUAAGUUAUCGUUUAUUUGAUAUUGCCUAUCCUACAUGGAUAACAGUGGUAAUUCUAGAGCUAAUACAUGCUGAAAAUCCCGACUUCGGAAGGGACGUAUUUAUUAGAAUCAGAACCAAUGCCCUUCGGGGUUCCUUGGUGAAUCAUGAUAACUCCACAGAUCGCAUGGCCUUGCGCCGGCGAUGGCUCAUUCAAAUUUCUUCCCUAUCAACUUUCGACGGUACGGUCUUGGCCUACCGUGGUUGUAACGGGUGACGGAGGGUUAGGGCUCGACCCCGGAGAAGGAGCCGGAGGAACGGCUACUACAUCCAAGGAAGGCAGCAGGCGCGCAAAUUAUCCAAUCCCGACACGGGGAGAUAGUGACAAUAAAUACCGAUACAGGGCUCUUUUGGGCCCUGUAAUUGGAAUGAGUACAAUUUAAACCUCUUAACGAGGAACAAUUGGAGGGCAAGUCUGGUGCCAGCAGCCGCGGUAAUUCCAGCUCCAAUAGCGUAUAUUAAAGUUGUUGUGGUUAAAAAGCUCGUAGUCGAACCUCGAGCCUGGCCGGCCGGUCCGCCUCACCGCGUGCACUGGUCUGGCCGGGCUCUUCCCUCUGCGGAACCGCAUGUCCUUCACUGGGCGUGUCGGGGAGGCAGGACUUUUACUUUGAAAAAAUUAGAGUGCUCAAGGCAGGCCAAUGCUCGAAUACAUUAGCAUGGAAUAAUAGAAUAGGACGUUGGUUCUAUUUUGUUGGUUUCUAGGACCGCCGUAAUGAUCAAUAGGGACGGUCGGGGGCAUCAGUAUUCAGCCGUCAGAGGUGAAAUUCUUGGACCGGCUGAAGACUAACUACUGCGAAAGCAUUUGCCAAGGACGUUUUCGCUGAUCAGGAACGAAAGUUAGGGGAUCGAAGACGAUCAGAUACCGUCGUAGUCUUAACCAUAAACUAUGCCGACUAGGGAUCGGGCGGCGUUCUUUCUAGACCCGCUCGGCA
rnacentral:rRNA from 1 species